GACGAACGCUGGCGGCGUGCCUAAUACAUGCAAGUCGAGCGGACCGAAGGGAGCUUGCUCCUUUAGGUUAGCGGCGGACGGGUGAGUGACACGUGGGCAACCUGCCCUGCAGACUGGGAUAACUUCGGGAAACCGGAGCUAAUACCGGAUAACACCGAAAACCGCAUGGUUUUCGGUUGAAAGGCGGCUUUUAGCUGUCACUGCAGGAUGGGCCCGCGGCGCAUUAGCUAGUUGGUGAGGUAACGGCUCACCAAGGCGACGAUGCGUAGCCGACCUGAGAGGGUGACCGGUCACACUGGGACUGAGACACGGCCCAGACUCCUACGGGAGGCAGCAGUAGGGAAUCUUCCGCAAUGGACGAAAGUCUGACGGAGCAACGCCGCGUGAGCGAAGGAGGUCUUCGGAUCGUAAAGCUCUGUUGUCAGGGAAGAACAAGUACCGUUCGAACAGGGCGGUACCUUGACGGUACCUGACGAGGAAGCCACGGCUAACUACGUGCCAGCCGCCGCAGUAA
rnacentral:rRNA from 1 species